UGAAUGGAGGAGACCAAAUCAACUUUUCAAAUCCGAAACCCACUUUUCUCUCUACAGCCAUCCACAGAAGCACCAAAUCGAGAGCCUUCGAUCGACAUCCUUCCAAACCCUAACCCUAAUCCUAGAAUCCGUCUCAACAGCGUCCUCCAUCGGCUGUCAAGAUGCCGGCGACGGCGGGAAGGGUGCGCAUGCCGGCGAACAACCGGGUCCACAGCAGCGCCGCCCUCCAGACACACGGGAUCUGGCAGAGCGCCAUCGGAUAUGAUCCCUACGCCCCCACCAACAAGGACGAGGACGCCUCCAAGGGCGGACACGCCGGCAAGCCUGGCGACGACGGUGCCGAGAACGCCUACGCCAGCUUCCAGGGCCUUCUCGCCCUCGCCCGCAUCACAGGCUCCAAUUCCGACGAGACCCGCGGCGCCUGUAAGAAGUGCGGCCGUGUCGGCCACCUUACGUUCCAGUGCCGCAACUUCCUCAGCGUCAAGGAAGACAAGGACAAGGAUGCCACCGCUGACGCCGCUGCCCUCCAGACCGCCUCGGCCGUCUUCGAGAAGAUCAAGAAGGCUGCCGGGAAGAAGGAAGAGGAGGAGAGCGACGAGGAGGAGGACGAAGAAGAGGAGAGUGAGAGUUCGGAUUCUGACAUGGAUCCGGAAAUUGAAAAGAUCAUUGCUGAGAGAUUCGGGAAAAAGAAGUCUUCCUCCAAGAAGAGAUCGCCGGUGGAGGGUUCAGGGGAGGAGAAGAAGGGGAGUCGGAGGAGGAGAGGAAGGUCCAAGAAGAGGAGCGGGAAGAGGUCGAGCCGGAGCGAUGGGACUGAUAGCGAGGAGGAACCUAGGAGGAGGGAGAAGAGGAGGAGGAGGAGGCAUGGGGGUUCGGAUGAUGAUGUGGAAGAGGAGGAUGGGAGCCGUAGGCACAGGAAGAGUCGGAAGGAGAAGAAGAGGCGGAGGAGCCAUCAUAAGAGGGAUGAGUCUGAUGAGUCAUCGGAAGAUUCUGGUAGGCGUCGCCGACAUAAGCGACGGCAUGGGAGGAAGGAUGUGUCUGAGAGUGACUGGGAUGGUAGUGAUGAUUCAUUGGAUGAUCGGAAGAGGUCCGGCAGGCACCACGAGCGCUGGAGGAAGAGGAGGUCCACUUCCUCUGAAAGUAGUGCAUCGGAUGAUGAAGACUAUCGUGGAAGAAAGGGGAAAAUGCAUUCUCAGGACAGGAGCAGGAACCAUAGGCGUGAAGAGAGGAACUGAAGAAGGGAAUGGUUAUAUGGAUAACGUUGGAGAAUCAUGCUAGAAUGGAUCCAUGUGUUGCUCAACAUCCAUCAUUUAAGGCGCGUAUACUGCCUGCUUUUGUAGUUUCGUGGUACGUUAGUGAUGUUGGUUCUCGAAACACCGAAUGAUAGCUUGAAGGUGACUCAGACAUGCGGCCUUCAAGCUAUGCAAACGGAAGGACAAACAGCAUGUUUGGUCGGUCGGCAACUCGAAGCUUUGAUUGCUGGAUUCAAUUCGGGUGGCAACUUAGCGUGGCAAACCUUUAUAUCGCAAGAGUGACGCUGUCCAACUUGUCUGGCCGAACCCUUUUGGGUGGGUUAACAUGCCUACUAAUUAGUGUGGGACCAGGUCUAUAUUGUGUUUGGUGGAGUGCUGGUGCUGGUUCAUCUUGGUGGUCGUAUAUUUGUCGAGUACCUUUUGAAGUGAAUUCAGAUGGAGGCAACCUUUUUUU